ACGCUGGCGGCUGCCUAACACAUGCAAGUCGAACGCUUGCCGGAUUUCGGUCCGGUGGGAGUGGCGCACGGGUGAGUAGCGCGUGGGAACCUGCCCUGUUGUGGGGGAUAACCGAGGGAAACUUCGGCUAAUACCGCAUGCGCCCGGGGCAACCCGGGGAAAGAUUUAUCGCAGCAGGAGGGGCCCGCGUCGGAUUAGCUGGUUGGUGGGGUAACGGCCUACCAAGGCCCCGAUCCGUAGCUGGUCUGAGAGGAUGAUCAGCCACACUGGGACUGAGACACGGCCCAGACUCCUACGGGAGGCAGCAGUGGGGAAUAUUGGACAAUGGGCGCAAGCCUGAUCCAGCAAUGCCGCGUGAGUGAUGAAGGCCUUCGGGUUGUAAAGCUCUUUCGCCCGCGACGAUGAUGACGGUAGCGGGAGAAGAAGCCCCGGCUAACUUCGUGCCAGCAGCCGCGGUAAUACGAAGGGGGCGAGCGUUGUUCGGAAUCACUGGGCGUAAAGGGCGCGUANGCGGCCCUGUCUGUCGCGUGUGAAAGCCCCGGGCUCA
rnacentral:rRNA from 1 species